rnacentral:misc_RNA from 1 species
AUUUUUAGUUCCAAAAUACUCUCAUUUACUGUCUCUUCCUUCUCAUCUGUCUGACCAUCUCUCCCCUCGGUCUUCUACUCUGCCCAAAACUAGGAUGCCAUCACAUUCACAAACCCAUUUCCCCCCAUCUCUCUCACAGGCCUAUUCCCUUUACUUCUCCAAACUCAAACGACCUAAAUUCAUUGUGCCUUCAUGUAAAGCCUCAAAAACAAUAGCAUAAUCAGAGCAAUUGCAUUCCAAAAGCAUAACCCAAUAGUUCAUAACCUGAAUUCAAUCGUGAAACAAAAUCAAUCCUUCUCUUAACCCCUGAUAAAUUUUUACGCUUCUUCUUUCCAUUUCAUUUCUUUGUCUCUCUCACUUCUGUACUACUAAACUAGACCACCAAAAUCAUAACUGCGUAAGUGACACUAAGGGCACAGAAGGGAGCCAUUUGAACUUUCAAACAAACAAGAAUAACUGCAUUUGCACAUUGAGCAGUACGAACUAAAACCUGCCGAAUUAUAGGGUAUAGAUCCAAUCCCCAUUUAUCACCGCAGAAAAAUCCCAAAGUGCCAAAUCAGCUUGGGAAACGAAGGAGCCAUUGGAAGCCAGUGGUGGUCUGGCUGUGGCAUUAGAACCAUGGCAUGCACCCACUACCCAGACUUCUUCCUUGUCCUUCCCUCCAUGAGUAACUACCGCCUUAGGUGCUCUGCUUCAGACACUAGAGCUACGAUAAUAAAUCAAUUCCAUAAAUGCAAGUGAUGAGGCUGGUUCUUAAGGAGUAGCUUGCAGGUUAAAGGUGGUUGGCAAACAAAGCAAGUGGUGGAGGCAAACAAGAGCAGACAAGGAAAAGCUGGAGACGGGAUGAGGAUGUGGAGGUAGCGAGGAACUGUAGAUGGAGGGGGACCAAUUUGUUUGUUGUUGAUCCUUGGGUUGUAUUGAGAUUUUUAAUUGGAUUCUUCUUUAUACUUAUUUAUGUGCAAUGCCUAUCUCUUGUUUGAUGAUAAAAAAAA